CAGUCGCCACGGUAGUACGUAGGGGGCAAGCGUUAUCCGGAAUUAUUGGGCGUAAAGAGUGCGUAGGUGGUCUACUAAGCGCGAGGUGAAAGGCAAUGGCUCAACCAUUGUUAGUCUUGCGAACUGGCAGACUUGAGUGCAAGAGAGGAAAGCGGAAUUCCUAGCGUAGCGGUGAAAUGCGCAGAUAUUAGGAGGAACACCGGCGGCGAAGGCGGCUUUCUGGAUUGUAACUGACACUGAGGCACGAAAGCGUGGGUAGCAAACAGGAUUAGAUACCCCCGUAGUCCCUGUCUCUUAUACA
rnacentral:rRNA from 1 species